rnacentral:rRNA from 1 species
GAUGAACGCUGGCGGCGUGCCUAAUACAUGCAAGUCGAGCGAACAGACGAGGAGCUUGCUCCUCUGACGUUAGCGGCGGACGGGUGAGUAACACGUGGAUAACCUACCUAUAAGACUGGGAUAACUUCGGGAAACCGGAGCUAAUACCGGAUAAUAUAUUGAACCGCGUGGUUCAAUAGUGAAAGACGGUUUUGCUGUCACUUAUAGAUGGAUCCGCGCCGCAUUAGCUAGUUGGUAAGGUAACGGCUUACCAAGGCAACGAUGCGUAGCCGACCUGAGAGGGUGAUCGGCCACACUGGAACUGAGACACGGUCCAGACUCCUACGGGAGGCAGCAGUGGGGAAUCUUCCGCAAUGGGCGAAAGCCUGACGGAGCAACGCCGCGUGAGUGAUGAAGGUCUUCGGAUCGUAAAACUCUGUUAGUAGGGAAGAACAAAUGUGUAAGUAACUAUGCACGUCUUGACGGUACCUAAUCAGAAAGCCACGGCUAACUACGUG